rnacentral:tRNA from 1 species
UAGCUGAGUGGUAAAGCUCUUGGCUUCUGAACCAGGAGUCCCUGGUUUGAAUCCUGG